GGGCCCGCACAAGCGGUGGAGCAUGUGGUUUAAUUCGAUGAUACGCGAGGAACCUUACCAGGGCUUAAAUGUAGUCUGACAGGGGUGGAAACACCCCCUCCUUCGGGCAGAUUACAAGGUGCUGCAUGGUUGUCGUCAGCUCGUGCCGUGAGGUGUCAGGUUAAGUCCUAUAACGAGCGCAACCCCUGCCGUUAGUUGCCAGCAUGUAAUGAUGGGAACUCUAACGGGACUGCCGGUGCAAACCGCGAGGAAGGUGGGGAUGACGUCAAAUCAUCACGGCCCUUACGUCCUGGGCUACACACGUGCUACAAUGGCCGGUACAGAGGGCAGCCACACCGCAAGGUGGAGCGAAUCCGACAAAACUUGUCGUAGUCCGGAUCGAAGUCUGCAACUCGCCUACGUGAAGGCGGAAUC
rnacentral:rRNA from 1 species